rnacentral:rRNA from 1 species
AAAUUUAAAUAAUAAACUAGGAUUAGAUACCCUAUUAUUUUAAAUGUUAAUUAUAUUUACCAGGGUACUAUUAGUUAAGGUCUUUAAACCCAAAGAAUUUGGCGGUAUCUCAUUCCAUUCAGAGGAACCUACCCCGUGAUUGAUAAUACACGAUUAACUCUACUUAAUUUAUUUGUUUGUAUAUCUCCGUUAUCAGAUAAUCUUUUUAGAGUUAUAAUUCUCAAGAUUUAUAAUUAUAAAAUAUUUCAGGUCAAGGUGCAGCUUAUAGUUAAGAGGAGGUGGGUUACAAUAGGUUUUUGUUUAUAACGGAUUUGAUGGUGAAAUACUAUUAAUGAAGGUGGAUUUGAUAGUAAUUUAAUUUAUUUAAUUUAACUGAUAUUGGCUCUGAGGUGUGUACACAUCGCCCGUCGCUCUCAUUAUUGAUUAUUCUAUUUUAUUAUUUUAAGGUAGCUUCAACUAUAGAUGAGAUAAGUCGUAACAUAGUAGAUGUACUGGAAAGUGUAUCUAGUAAGAGUUU